UACGGGAGGCAGCAGUGGGGAAUCUUGCACAAUGGAGGAAACUCUGAUGCAGCGAUGCCGCGUGAGUGAAGAAGGCCUUUGGGUUGUAAAGCUCUUUUGUAGGGGAAGAUAAUGACUGUACCCUAAGAAUAAGGUCCGGCUAACUUCGUGCCAGCAGCCGCGGUAAUACGAAGGGACCUAGCGUAGUUCGGAAUUACUGGGCGUAAAGCGCGCGUAGGCCGUUGAGUUAGUUAAUUGUGAAAUCCCAAAGCUUAACUUUGGAACUGCAAUUAAAACUGCUCGACUAGAGUUUGAUAGAGGAAAGCGGAAUACAUAGUGUAGAGGUGAAAUUCGUAGAUAUUAUGUAGAACACCAGUUGCGAAGGCGGCUUUCUGGAUCAACACUGACGCUGAGGCGCGAAAGUAUGGGUAGCAAAGAGGAUUAGAUACCCUCGUAGUCCAUACCAUAAACGAUGAUUGCUAGAUGUGGAAAUUUAUUUUCAGU
rnacentral:rRNA from 1 species